rnacentral:rRNA from 1 species
CCUACGGGUGGCAGCAGUGGGGAAUAUUGCACAAUGGGGGAAACCCUGAUGCAGCGACGCCGCGUGAGUGAAGAAGUAAUUCGUUACGUAAAGCUCUAUCAGCAGGGAAGAAAUACUGACCUUACGGUCAGCAGACGGUACCUGACUAAGAAGCCCCGGCUAACUACGUGCCAGCAGCCGCGGUAAUACGUAGGGGGCAAGCGGUAUCCGGAUUUACUGGGUGUAAAGGGAGCGUAGACGGCAGAACAAGUCUGGAGUGAAAUCCCGGGGCUUAACCCCGGAACUGCUUUGGAAACUGGGAGGCUGGAGGGCAGGAGAGGUAAGCGGAAUUCGUGGUGUAGCGGUGAAAUGCGUAGAUAUUAGGAAGAACACCGAUUGCGAAGGCAGCUUACUGGACUGUAACUGACGUUGAGGCUCGAAAGCGUGGGGAGCAAACAGGAUUAGAUACCCUUGUAGUC